rnacentral:misc_RNA from 1 species
GAUGAAGAACGUAGCGAAAUGCGAUAAGUAAUGUGAAUUGCAGAAUUCAGUGAAUCAUCGAAUCUUUGAGCGCACAUUGCGCCCGCCAGUAUUCUGGCGGGCAUGCCUGUUCGAGCGUCAUUUCAACCAUCAAGCCCCCCGGCUUGUGUUGGGGACCUGCGGCUGCCGCAGGCCCUGAAAAGCAGUGGCGGGCUCGCUGUCACACCGAGCGUAGUAGAUCUCAUCUCGCUCAGGGCGUGCUGCGGGUUCCGGCCGUUAAACCACCUUCAUAACCCAAGGUUGACCUCGGAUCAGGUAGGAAGACCCGCUGAACUUAAGCAUAUCAAUAAGCGGAGGA